UAAGAUGCGAGUGGCCCAGGGAGGGGCCAGGCCCCAUGGCCUCAACCAAUAACCUUGGUUUGGCUGCCCGACUGAUGGGUGAUCUCACAAGUCUCCCUCCCCGACCCGAAAAAGUAAUAACCUUUCAUCUGUGCUGUGUCUUGGGUUCGCCAGUUUCUCCCACGGCCAGACUUGAAUCUUGAUUGGUAAGAAACCCUCAAAGCCCUCGGCUCAGCCUCAAACUAGAAAAUUCAAGUUUCUCUUAAAAGGAAUUUUAGUCUGGUGAGAUGUGUAACUAUCAAGCUUGGGAAGACGAUUCUCUGCAGGGUGAAGAUUAUGCACAGAGCACGGCAGAUGGCGUAGAUGUUGGGGAGACAAGGUGGGGAGCACGGCUGGCAAUGUUGGAAGCGCGGAUAGCUCGAGUGGAGGCUAGGGUGGAAAAACUGGAGGCAAAGAUGCUGUAUCUGCAAAAGGGAAUGCGUGUUGUUUGCGCGCUGUUUCUGGUUACUCUUAUCUAUGCAGUUGUCAAGUAAAUGUUAGGGGUGAUUAGCUGGUUAGUUUCAGCUGUGUAUUGCUCUUCUUUGUCUGUAAAAUAUGUAGUUAGGCAUCUGAA